AAAUAUGUUUUCUAAGUGUCUAGUGAUGAGUUUCAUAGGGCAGAUUCUGAGGUGAAAUUCAGUUCAUCAUUGAUCGUCCUAUUAUGAAAUCUGAAGACACUUGAAAACCU
ensembl:snoRNA Snord90 small nucleolar RNA SNORD90